GGGUGUGAGGGUAAUGGGGCUGUGGUAUCCGUCAUCCCACUGGUUGUCAGGGUUGAUUCAGCUGAGCUGGCUGGCUAGACACAUGCCCCCUUCCUCCAUCACUGCUUCAUGUGUGCCUCUCCUGAAGUUGUGCCCUCUGUCUUUAUCUCCUGAUAAAGGAGGACCAUGAACUAGGAGGGUAUACGAGUAGCUGUGCUCCCCUGCUAGAAGCUCCAAACAAGCUCUCAAAACCAAAAAAAAGAUGGGAGUGAGCCAGAGAGAAGGA
rnacentral:snRNA from 1 species